rnacentral:rRNA from 1 species
AUACAUGCAAGUCGAACGAGAGUUAUUCCAGCUUGCUGGAUUUGAAAGUGGCGCACGGGUGCGUAACGCGUAUGCAACCUACCUUAAUCUGGGGGAUAGCCCGGAGAAAUCCGGAUUAACACCGCAUAAAAACACAGGAUAGCAUUAUCCAAUGUUCAAAUAUUUAUAGGAUUGGGAUGGGCAUGCGUGUCAUUAGCUAGUUGGCGGGGUAACGGCCCACCAAGGCGACGAUGACUAGGGGAUCUGAGAGGAUGGCCCCCCACACUGGUACUGAGACACGGACCAGACUCCUACGGGAGGCAGCAGUAAGGAAUAUUGGUCAAUGGAGGCAACUCUGAACCAGCCAUGCCGCGUGCAGGAAGACUGCCCUAUGGGUUGUAAACUGCUUUUAUCCGGGAAUAAACCUCUUUACGUGUAGAGAGCUGAAUGUACCGGAAGAAUAAGGAUCGGCUAACUCCGUGCCAGCAGCCGCGGUAAUACGGAGGAUCCAAGCGUUAUCCGGAUUUAUUGGGUUUAAAGGGUGCGUAGGCGGCCUGUUAAGUCAGGGGUGAAAGACGGUAGCUCAACUAUCGCAGUGCCCUUGAUACUGAUGGGCUUGAAUGGACUAGAGGUAGGCGGAAUGAGACAAGUAGCGGUGAAAUGCAUAGAUAUGUCUCAGAACACCGA